rnacentral:rRNA from 1 species
GCCCAGACUCCUACGGGAGGCAGCAGUGGGGAAUAUUGGGCAAUGGAGGCAACUCUGACCCAGCAACGCCGCGUGAGCGAUGAAGGUCUUCGGAUUGUAAAGCCCUGUCGCAGGGGACGAAGUAUGACGGUACCCUGUAAGAAAGCCCCGGCAAACUACGUGCCAGCAGCCGCGGUAAUACGUAGGGGGCUAGCGUUGUCCGGAAUUACUGGGCGUAAAGGGAGUGUAGACGGCUUGUCAAGUUAAGUGUGAAAGCCUGCGGCUUAACCGCAGAAUUGCACUUAAAACUGACUCGCUAGAGUGCAGGAGAGGUGAGUGGAAUUCCUAGUGUAGCGGUGGAAUGCGUAGAUAUUAGGAGGAACACCAGAGGCGAAGGCGGCUCACUGGACUGUAUCUGACGUUGAGGCUCGAAAGCGUGGGGAGCAAACAGGAUUAGAUACCCGUGUAGC